GCAGUCGAGCGAAUGGAUUAAGAGCUUGCUCUUAUGAAGUUAGCGGCGGACGGGUGAGUAACACGUGGGUAACCUGCCCAUAAGACUGGGAUAACUCCGGGAAACCGGGGCUAAUACCGGAUAACAUUUUGAACUGCAUGGUUCGAAAUUGAAAGGCGGCUUCGGCUGUCACUUAUGGAUGGACCCGCGUCGCAUUAGCUAGUUGGUGAGGUAACGGCUCACCAAGGCAACGAUGCGUAGCCGACCUGAGAGGGUGAUCGGCCACACUGGGACUGAGACACGGCCCAGACUCCUACGGGAGGCAGCAGUAGGGAAUCUUCCGCAAUGGACGAAAGUCUGACGGAGCAACGCCGCGUGAGUGAUGAAGGCUUUCGGGUCGUAAAACUCUGUUGUUAGGGAAGAACAAGUGCUAGUUGAAUAAGCUGGCACCUUGACGGUACCUAACCAGAAAGCCACGGCUAACUACGUGCCAGCAGCCGCGGUAAUACGUAGGUGGCAAGCGUUAUCCGGAAUUAUUGGGCGUAAAGCGCGCGCAGGUGGUUUCUUAAGUCUGAUGUGAAAGCCCACGGCUCAACCGUGGAGGGUCAUUGGAAA
rnacentral:rRNA from 2 species